CACAGGGCAAACUGUGGUCCAGAAGGACCUGGCAGGAUUGAGCAGCAGCUGACCUGCAGGAGGGGAGGGCUCCUCAGCAAGCCUCCUCUGGGGAACCUGGCACUUCAGGACUGGAGCCUGCCGAGCCCCAGAGGCUUCAAGGAAAGAUGGAGAGAUAAGGACUUGGUAAUGUUGAGAUCUGGAACACAUUAAAAAAACAGGCGUUGCUAACUGACUGCAAGGCAAUAGGAGUGUAUCAGCAGGAUGAGGGCUGCCCAGCAGAGUCCAAGGGAGGCGGCAGGAUGCCAUCUGUCUGAGUGAAGAUUCCAGCAGAACCCUGGCAUAUUACGAGGUUUU